AUUGAACGCUGGCGGCAUGCUUUACACAUGCAAGUCGAACGGCAGCGCGGGCUUCGGCCUGGCGGCGAGUGGCGAACGGGUGGGUAAUACAUCGGAACGUGCCCAGUAGUGGGGGAUAGAUCGGCGGAAGCCGGAUUAAUACCGCAUACGACCUGAGGGUGAAAGCGGGGGAUCUUCUGACCUCGCGCUAUUGGAGCGGCCGAUGGCAGAUUAGCUAGUUGGUGGGGUAAAGGCCUACCAAGGCGACGAUCUGUAGCUGGUCUGAGAGGACGACCAGCCACACUGGAACUGAGACACGGCCCAGACCCCUACGGGAGGCAGCAGUGGGGAAUUUUGGACAAUGGGCGAAAGCCUGAUCCAGCAAUGCCGCGUGUGUGAUGAAGGCCUUCGGGUUGUAAAGCACUUUUGGCGGGAACGAAAAGGACUGUGCCAAUACCACGGCUCGAUGACGGUACCUGAAGAAUAAGCACCGGCUAACUACGUG
rnacentral:rRNA from 1 species